rnacentral:rRNA from 1 species
GACGUAGGGGACGAGCGUUGUCCGGAUUCAUUGGGCGUAAAGCGCGCGUAGGCGGCCCGGUAAGUCCGCUGUAAAAGUCAAAGGCUCAACCUUUGAAUGUCAGUGGAUACUGCCGGGCUAGAGUCCGGAAGAGGCGAGUGGAACUCCUGGUGUAGCGGUGGAAUGCGCAGAUAUCAGGAAGAACACCGACGGCGAAGGCAGCUCGCUGGGACGGUACUGACGCUGAGGCGCGAAAGCGUGGGGAGCGAACAGG